rnacentral:rRNA from 1 species
UACGUAGGGGGCAAGCGUUAUCCGGAUUUACUGGGUGUAAAGGGAGCGUAGACGGCGAUGCAAGCCAGAUGUGAAAGCCCGGGGCUCAACCCCGGGACUGCAUUUGGAACUGUAUAGCUAGAGUGUCGGAGAGGCAGGCGGAAUUCCUAGUGUAGCGGUGAAAUGCGUAGAUAUUAGGAGGAACACCGGUGGCGAAAGUGGCUCUCUGGCCUGUAACUGACACUGAGGCUCGAAAGCGUGGGGAGCAAACAGG